UACGGAGGAUCCGAGCGUUAUCCGGAUUUAUUGGGUUUAAAGGGUGCGCAGGCGGGAGAUUAAGUCGGCGGUGAAAUUUUGCAGCUCAACUGUAAAAGUGCCUUCGAAACUGGUUUCCUUGAGUGUAGAUGAAGUAGGCGGAAUUUGUGGUGUAGCGGUGAAAUGCAUAGAUAUCACGAGGAACUCCGAUUGCGCAGGCAGCUUACUAAACCAUAACUGACGCUCAGGCACGAAAGGCGUGGGGAGUCAAACAGGAUUAGAUACCCGCGUA
rnacentral:rRNA from 1 species